rnacentral:rRNA from 1 species
GAUGAACGCUAACGGCAGGCUUAAUACAUGCAAGUCGAGGGGCAGCAUGAUUGUAGCAAUACAAUUGAUGGCGACCGGCAAACGGGUGUGGAACACGUACACAACCUCCCAAUAAGUGGGGAAUAGCCCAGAGAAAUUUGGAUUAAUACCCCGUAACAUAACGAUGUGGCAUCACAUUGUUAUUAUAGAUUUUUCGCUUAUUGAUGGGUGUGCGGCUGAUUAGAUAGUUGGCGGGGUAACGGCCCACCAAGUCUACGAUCAGUAGCUGAUGUGAGAGCAUGAUCAGCCACACGGGCACUGAGACACGGGCCCGACUCCUACGGGAGGCAGCAGUAAGGAAUAUUGGACAAUGGACGCAAGUCUGAUCCAGCCAUGCCGCGUGAAGGAUUAAGGUCCUCUGGAUUGUAAACUUCUUUUAUAAGGGACGAAAAAAGGCUUUUCUAAGUCGUCUGACGGUACCUUAUGAAUAAGCACCGGCUAACUUCGUGCCAGCAGCCGCAGUAAAAC